AACGAACGCUGGCGGCAUGCCUAACACAUGCAAGUCGAACGAAGCCUUCGGGCUUAGUGGCGCACGGGUGCGUAACGCGUGGGAAUCUGCCCUUGGGUUCGGAAUAACAGUUAGAAAUGACUGCUAAUACCGAAUGAUGUCUUCGGACCAAAGAUUUAUCGCCUUUAGAUGGGCCCGCGUAAGAUUAGCUAGUUGGUGGGUAAAGGCCUACCAAGGCGACGAUCUUUAGCUGGUCUGAGAGGAUGAUCAGCCACACUGGGACUGAGACACGGCCCAGACUCCUACGGGAGGCAGCAGUGGGGAAUAUUGGACAAUGGGCGAAAGCCUGAUCCAGCAAUGCCGCGUGAGUGAUGAAGGCCUUAGGGUUGUAAAGCUCUUUUACCCGAGAUGAUAAUGACAGUACCGGGAGAAUAAGCCCCCGGGCUAACUCCGUGCCAGCAGCCGCGGUAAU
rnacentral:rRNA from 1 species